UGGACAGGUCAGCUAUAGGACAGGAUAUAUGGAUAGAUCAGCUAUUGAACAGCACUAGUGGACAGGUCAGCUGUAGGACGGGACAUGUGGACAGAUCAGCUACGGUACAGGACAUGUGGACAGGUCAGCUGUAGGACAGGAUAUAUGGAUAGAUCAGCUAUUGAACAGCACUAGUGGACAGGUCAGCUAGAGGACAGGACAUGUGGAUAGAUUAGCUAUUGAACAGGACUUGUGGAUAGGUCAGCUAUAGGUCAGGACAUGUGGCUAGAUCAGAUAUGGAACAGGACUUGUGUCAGCUCAGGUUUAGGUCAGGUUUAGGACAGGACACGUCAGUUCAAAUAUUGGAAAGGACUUGUGGCCAGAUCAGCUAUAGGAUGGGACUUGUGGACAGGUCAUCUAUAGGACAGGACAUGUGGAUAGAUCAGCUAUUGAACAGUACUUGUGGACAGGUCAUCUAUAGGACAAGACAUGAGGAUACAUCAGCUAUUUAACAGGGCAUGUGGACAGGUCAGCUAUAGGACAGGACAUGUGAGGACAGGGCACAUUAUCAGUUCAGCUAUUGGAGAGGACUUGUGGCCAAAUCAGCUGUAGGACAUGUGUCCACAUCAGCUAUAUGAUGGGACUUGUUACAGGUCAGCUAUAGGUCAGGACUUGUGGACAGGUCAGCUAUAGAUCAGGACAUGUGGACAGGUCAGCUAUAGGUCAGGACUUGUGGACAGGUCAGCUAUAGGUCAGGACAUGUGGACAGGUCAGCUAUAGAUCAGGACUUGUGGACAGGUCAGCUAUAGGUUGGGACUUGUGGACAGGUCAGCUGUAGGACGGGACAUGUGGACAGGUCAGCUACGGUACAGUACAUGUGGACAGGUCAGCUGUAGGACGGGGCAUGUGGACAGAUCAGCUACGGUACAGGACAUGUGGACAGGUCAGCUGUAGGACGGGACAUGUGUACAGAUCAGCUACGGUACAUGACAUGUGGACAGGUCAGCUACGGUACAGGACAUGUGGACAGAUCAGCUACGGUACAGGACAUGUGGACAGGUCAGCUGUAGGACGGGACAUGUGGACAGAUCAGCUACGGUACAGGACAUGUGGACAGGUCAGCUGUAGGACGGGGCAUGUGGACAGAUCAGCUACGGUACAGGACAUGUGGACAGGUCAGCUGUAGGACAGGAUUUAUGGAUAGAUCAGCUAUUGAACAGCACUAGUGGACAGGUCAGCUAUAGGACAGGACAUGUGGAUAGAUUAGCUAUUGAACAGGACUUGUGGAUAGGUCAGCUAUAGGACAGGGCAUGUGGAUAGAUGAGCUAUGGAACAGGACUUGAGGACAGGUCAGGUUUAGGUCAGGUUUAGGACAGGACAUGUGAGGACAGGGCACAUUAUCAGUUCAGCUAUUGGAGAGGACUUGUGGCCAAAUCAGCUGUAGGACAGGACUUGUGGACAGGUCAUAUAUAGGACAGGACACGUGGAUAGAUCAGCUAUUGAACAGUACUUGUGGACAGGUCAUCUAUAGGACAAGACAUGAGGAUACAUCAGCUAUUUAACAGGGCAUGUGGACAGGUCAGCUAUAGGACAGGACAUGUGAGGACAGGGCACAUUAUCAGUUCAGCUAUUGGAGAGGACUUGUGGCCAAAUCAGCUGUAGGACAUGUGUCCACAUCAGCUAUAUGAUGGGAAUUGUUACAGGUCAGCUAUAGGUCAGGACUUGUGGACAGGUCAGCUAUAGGUCAGGACAUGUGGACAGGUCAGCUAUAGGUCAGGACUUGUGGACAGGUCAGCUAUAGGUCAGGACUUGUGGACAGGUCAGCUAUAGGUCAGGACUUGUGGACAGGUCAGCUAUAGGUUGGGACUUGUGGACAGGUCAGUUUUAGGUCAGGACUUGUGGACAGGCCAGCUAUAGGUCAGGACUUGUGGAAAGGCCAGCUAUAGGUCAGGACUUGUGGACAGG